UUUAAAAACACAAUUAAAGAUAGUAGUUUAAUUAGCAAGUGUAAUAAUAGGAAUAGUUGUUCCCUAUAGGUGUAACUAAGCCCACCAGUAGUCUCAUAAUUAGUCAAAAGCAUAAAAUAUUGAUAGGAAUUUCACCCAGAAACCAAAUAUUUUAAUUAGGUGGUUAAAAAAAACUAAAAUGUUAAUAUUUUUAUUCUUUCCAAAACUAAAAUCUUAACAUUUUUAUCAUUAAAAGAUGAGUUAAAAACUGUUAUUAUCAUCUUAAAAAUCCCACUCAACGAAAAAAAAAAAAGAAUCAUCUUAAAAAUCCCACUCUGAAAUAUUUAGCAACUUCUCCCUUUGCUUCAUUCUUGAAGAUUCCUUUACGUUAUUGUCCAGUUCUCCCUCAGGAACUGGUCUUGGAAAUCCUGUCAUGGCUUCUGAUGCGACUCGGGUGUGUUUGCAAGUCUUGAAAUUUCUUUUGUGAAAGUGCACCUUGGAAGAUCUUCCAGAAACACCUCCGUCCUCUACACGUUAUUCGACCAGACUAAGAUUGGGCUCGACACUGCUGCUCCGCAGAACGUUUACUGAACGACCCAUCAUCCAUAGUUGAUUAUGGUGGUGGCUCCCCAACCAAUCACAAUUAUGAGGUCAUUGAAGUCUGCAAUGGAGACCUAUAUCUCAUCAACAGAGAGACUGUGUCCUAUUUUGGAACCCCGCUACUAGGUUAAUAAUGUCCCGACACUCGUCAUGCAUACCUAGUAAUUAACAUAUUUUUCAAAUGAUGGGCUUUGGCUAUGACGAUUCAGGAGACACCUACAAAGUGGUUGAGGAUAGCAACUCACUGGAAACGGAAGUGAGAAUUCACCGUCUGGGUCACAAUUGUUGGAGGAUCGUUGUAAGAUGGAGUGGUUUUCCUAAAUUAAGGAAUGUUCAUGGUCAAUACGUAAUUUAAAUAUUCAUUUGAUUUAAGGAAUGAGACACACAUAUUUGUCACUGCCUGAUGAUGGUCUUAAUAUAAUCUUCUUGGCCGAUCUAGGGGUUUUGAGGGGCUGUUUAUGCCUCUGUGUCACCACGGAAAUCAUUAUUUCUCUGUUUGCCAAAUGAAGGAGUCUUGGACUACAUUGCUGAAUGUUAAUUGUGAGCAUUUCCAAAUCUUCAAUUCAUAUUGUAAAUAUCGAUUCCCAUUGUGCAUAUCUGAAGACCGUGAUAUUCUGUUGCUGUCAAGCAAUGAAGUUUUUGAAGUUAUUACAUAUAACCGGAGAGAUAACAGACUAGAGUAUACUGACAUUAGCUCCAACAAAGUUUGGUUGCACUCCAGUGAUUAUGUUGAAAGCUUGGUUUUGCCUUAUUGUAACUGAGGUCCUCCACAAUGGUUGGCUUAUCUGAGUUCAUGUGAUUGUCAAUUGGCAAUCAAGGUACAGAUACCCUCCAAAGGAACACCUGUAAGGAUUUGCAAAACAUUGUAGUGAUGUUGAAACUUCAAAGAAUGUCAAGGGAAAUUCUACAGAAGUCUAUAUGCACUCGGGUUCUGUGGAAAUAUUAUAAUGAUAUGGAAAAUAGAUUUAAGGCUCAAUCAGCCAGAAAAUUUUCAAGACAUUAUAUAUCAUGACCAAUAUUUUGGUGGAACCUUUAUUAUUAUUAA